UACGUAGGGGGCAAGCGUUGUCCGGAUUUAUUGGGCGUAAAGAGCGUGUAGGCGGCCAGAUAGGUCCGUUGUGAAAACUCGAGGCUCAACCUCGAGACGCCGGUGGAAACCAUUUGGCUAGAGUCCGGAAGAGGAGAGUGGAAUUCCUGGUGUAGCGGUGAAAUGCGCAGAUAUCAGGAAGAACACCGGUGGCGAAGGCGGCUCUCUGGGCCUUACCUGACGCUGAGGAGCGAAAGCGUGGGUAGCGAACAGG
rnacentral:rRNA from 1 species